GACGGAGGGUGCUAGCGUUGUUCGGAAUUACUGGGCGUAAAGCGCACGCAGGCGGUCUUGUAAGUUUGACGUGAAAGCUCCCGGCUUAACUGGGAGAGGUCGUUGAAUACUGCGAGACUUGAGUUUAGGAGAGGGGUGUAGAAUUCCCGGUGUAGUGGUGGAAUGCGUAGAUAUCGGGGGGAAUACCAGUGGCGAAAGCGGCACCCUAGCCUUUGACUGACGCUCAUGUGCGAAAGCGUGGGGAGCGAACGGG
rnacentral:rRNA from 1 species